GACAGAGGGUGCAAACGUUGCUCGGAAUUACUGGGCGUAAAGGGCGCGUAGGCGGUACUUCAAGUCAGGCGUGAAAGCCCCGGGCUCAACCUGGGAACCGCGCUUGAGACUGGAGAACUAGAGUUCGGGAGAGGAUGGUGGAAUUCCCCAGUGUAGAGGUGAAAUUCGUAGAUAUCAAGCAGAACACCUGCGGCGAAGGCGGCCUUCUGGACGAUGACUGACGCUGAGACACGAAAGCGUGGGGAGCGAAAC
rnacentral:rRNA from 1 species